CCAGUAGCCACUGUCUCCAUGACGACCUGCCAGCACAAGGAGCAGGCGUGAGUGAAGGCUCCCAUGGACAUACAGAGACGUGCCCAGGGACCUGAGUGCACAAGAGAGAGGGAGGCAAAGCGCCCAACAUGGCUCUAAUCGAAAAGCUGCAGCACUCAGAUGAAGGAAUUCCACCACAUCGUCUGCAACUUGAUGGACUGACUCCGCUGUGAUGGAAAAAAGACCACAGGAAGACCUGCUCUUUGCCAGUGGAGGUCUCGGUCCAGAGGAGCCGGUAGCCUUGGAUGGGGCCGUUGGCGUAUGCUGGAGGAUCCCAUGAGGCCUGGAUGGAGGUCGGGG